rnacentral:misc_RNA from 1 species
GUGAAUCAUCGAAUCUUUGAACGCACCUUGCGCUCCUUGGUAUUCCGAGGAGCAUGCCUGUUUGAGUGUCUUGAAAUCAUCAAACCCCUCUGGUUUCUGCUGGNGCGGGUUUGGACUUGGGGGUUUUGCUGCCUCUGGUGGCUCCCCUUAAAUGAAUCGGUCGGGCUUUCGUGUGGCUUGUCCCUUGGCGUUGUAUCGACCUCGUCGCUGGAUGGCUCGCGAGUUUAGCGCCCCUCCAAGACCAGCCUCUGGAGUGGCGGUCAACUUCAAUUUGUGAUCUGACCUCAAAUCAGGUAGGAC